rnacentral:lncRNA from 1 species
CCCCUUUCUUCGUCACGUCCUCUUUCAAUUUGGUGUCUUCGCUGUAGAGACACAUCUCCACAAGAUGAGAGCAAAGUGGAGGAAGAAGCGUAUGCGCAGGUAAGGAUCACUUCCUUUUAGGAUUUAUCUGAAUGUUGAUGUUGCUUUGUAGUUUCGUUCAGAUAAGCAUGGUACUCCAGUCUUGUUAACAUGGACGCAGCACACAUUUGCGAUAAACUAUCAACUACAAUAGAUUUGACAACCAUGCAUAUGACUUUUUUUUUUUAAGGCUCAUAAUAGUUCAGUCCAGGAUUAAUGUUUUCAUUUGGGGUGGCGGGUAGCCAAGUGGUUAGAAAAUUGGGCCAGUAACCACAAUGUUGCUGGAUCGAAUCCCCGAGGUGACAACUUAAAUCUGUUCCCCAGAACAAGGCAGUUAACUACCGGGGACCGUGUGUCAUUGUAAAUAAGAAUUUGUUCUUAACUGACUUGCCUAGUUAAAUAAACGUUACAUUUUAAAUACUAAAUGAGCACACAGCAAUGGUGGGAUUAAUGCUAAUCAUUGUAGGGACUUUUACAAACUGACAUGCUGUGUUUGGUAUGUAAUGAUGCAGCUCUGGUCACUAAUUGACACUUUCUGGUCUUUGUAGGCUGAAGCGUAAAAGGCGAAAGAUGAGGCAGAGGUCCAAGUAGACUGGCCCAUUCCCCUACUGCUGUGAUUGUUUUUCCCCACCCACUCCAAGCCCCCUGUUUGAAGCCAGCGGUCCAUGAUUUGCAAAGAGCUGAACCAUGGUUGUCUGAAGCCGGUCUCAUUGGUGUGAAGGACGGAUCCCGCAUACCCAGCCCUCUACUCUGCCAAUGGCACCUGGCUGUUGACUACUGCUAGAAUCUCUCCUGUUGUUGGACUCUGGCCUUUUACCACCUGCACAGCUGAUUUGUUGUGAAGACCAUAAUAAAUAUUUGGUUUACUAACUACAUUA